ACAGAGUUUCACUCUUAUUGCCCAGGCUGGAGUGCAAUGCGUGAUCUCGCCUCACUGCAACCUCUGUCUCCCAGGUUCAAGUGAUUCUCCUGCCUCGGCCUCCUUUUUCUGUACGUACAUUCUAUUUUACAAUUUUUAAAAGUGAUGAAAAAAAGAAAAAGAGAGUCAGAAAGGAGGGAAGGAGGACGGAAUGGAGAGAGAACAGAGACCUUAGAAGCAGAAAGGCAGAAAGCUGAGGCAUUAGAGCACAUGUUGUGUGGCCUCAAUCUUUUCAAUAAUGUAUGAGGCACAAUCUCCCGGAGAGAUCAAGGGUCUGAAAGGUCUGGACAAGACUUGCAACAGCUGCAUUAGAAAUGUGGUGGGCUAGGAGUCUGCUAUAGGUCAGGAAAAGGAUUGCCGAAUAAACUCUACUGAGCAUGGGCUGCAAACUCAGAUGCCCACGGGGAACAGGCAGGCAUCUCAUGAAUCAGGUUGUCUGGGGAGUGGGAGGAAGCAAGCCCGUUGAUUAAAGGCAUCUGAUUCUCAGUUUGGGGUCCAGGAAGACACUCUCUGUUGUUGCAGAGAAGGUAGCAAAAUGGAGUGUAUGCCCCAUGUCAGAGAAGCCACUGCCUCUCAGCUCCAGCCAGUGGUCCUUCCAGAAUGGGUAAAGACCGGGUACCGCCAGCUCUCCAUCUCUGCUUGCCGAGCUAAAACUCUGGAUUUUCUGGUGACCUCCUAUUUCUUAAAUGCUCAUAACUAAAUCAAAUUGUUUUAAAUAUCAUUCCGGCCAAAAAAAACCCCAUUUGAUGCUCCUGAUGAGGUCCGUGAGGUCCGAGACCCCUGCAUGAACCAGUCAGAUCACCAUGGAACAAGUCGCCCCAGGGCAUGGCUGUCUCCAGCCGCUCUGAGUAGCCAGCGGUGCAGCCAGCUGGUCUCAGAUUUGGGCUGUGAUGAGUCUGGAUGGCAGAAGAACAAGAGGGAUGGGAAAUUGAGGGAGGGCCUCAUUGAAAGGGCUCACUCCAGGAGCCAGAAAACCAGAAGAGCCUAAGGGACCCAGAGCUAGAGUGAGACCAGAGAUGCACAGUCCCCAUGAGGACAAAGAGCCCAGUGAGGAGAAAGGGAGAGGUAAAAGGAUAAAAGAGUCAGAAGGAGUUUCAGAAUCUAAGAGCUCCAAAAAUAAACCUUUCCCUUUGUAUCACUUUUCUCUUUUUACUUUAGUUGCUCUCAACUUGCUGCUUCCUUUUUUUAAAAAUUCUAGCAAUUCUGCAGGAAACCAGAAGUGUGAACCAAACACAGUAACUCUAGGUGUUAUGGCGCUGUCCUGCUCACCCUUCUUUUGGCCUACUGGCUUCAAAGCUGCUCAGCAAAUUCCUUGAUUUGAAAUUACGAUCACAGGUUGGAGUGCUACUUAAAAUAAUUUUGCCAAAUGUUCCAUCUCUCUGUGUUGAUGAAUAUAAUGGAUGACAAUUUAAAGAGCAAAAAAAAAGUAAGUAUUCACUUUGUUGAAGACAAAAAAAAAAAAA
rnacentral:lncRNA from 1 species